AGUGAACGCUGGCGGUAGGCCUAACACAUGCAAGUCGAACGGCAGCACAGUAAGAGCUUGCUCUUACGGGUGGCGAGUGGCGGACGGGUGAGGAAUACAUCGGAAUCUACUUUUUCGUGGGGGAUAACGUAGGGAAACUUACGCUAAUACCGCAUACGACCUACGGGUGAAAGCAGGGGAUCUUCGGACCUUGCGCGAUUGAAUGAGCCGAUGUCGGAUUAGCUAGUUGGCGGGGUAAAGGCCCACCAAGGCGACGAUCCGUAGCUGGUCUGAGAGGAUGAUCAGCCACACUGGAACUGAGGCACGGUCCAGGCUCCUACGGGAGGCAGCAGUGGGGAAUAUUGGACAAUGGGCGCAAGCCUGAUCCAGCCAUACCGCGUGGGUGAAGAAGGCCUUCGGGUUGUAAAGCCCUUUUGUUGGGAAAGAAAAGCAGCAGGUUAAUACCCCGCUGUUCUGACGGUACCCAAAGAAUAAGCACCGGCUAACUUCGUG
rnacentral:rRNA from 1 species